UUUGGCCCAUUAAUUGUUUCUGCUUGAGUUUAUUAUUUUAUUUUGUGAAGCGUGUUGGUUGUCACCCAAGGGCACUUGGCCCAAUGGAAGUGGGGUUUGACCCAUGACCCCAAGGUCAUGGGUUCAACCCCUAGUGCCCCCUUUUGUUAUAUUUUUCAUUCUUUUCCUUUUUAUUUCUUAUUUUCUUCAUUUUCAUUUAUUUUCUUCCCAUUUUUAUUUCACUUAUUUUGUC
rnacentral:lncRNA from 1 species